rfam:Oryza brachyantha chromosome 10, whole genome shotgun sequence.
UGGCCAGUGAUGAAAAGUGAGUUGUACAGAUACUCUAUUGAGUUGAAUGAAGUACACCCAUAGAAUCUGAGGCUU